rnacentral:rRNA from 1 species
UGGGGAAUAUUGCACAAUGGGCGAAAGCCUGAUGCAGCAACGCCGCGUGAGCGAUGAAGGCCUUCGGGUCGUAAAGCUCUGUCCUCAAGGAAGAUAAUGACGGUACUUGAGGAGGAAGCCCCGGCUAACUACGUGCCAGCAGCCGCGGUAAUACGUAGGGGGCAAGCGUUAUCCGGAUUUACUGGGUGUAAAGGGAGCGCAGACGGCAGUGCAAGUCUUAUGUGAAAGCCCGGGGCUCAACCCCGGAACUGCAUUGGAAACUGUACAGCUCGAGUGUCGGAGGGGUAAGCGGAAUUCCUAGUGUAGCGGUGAAAUGCGUAGAUAUUAGGAGGAACACCGGUGGCGAAGGCGGCUUACUGGACGAUAACUGACGCUGAGGCUCGAAAGCGUGGGGAGCAAACAGG